rnacentral:rRNA from 1 species
AUUGAACGCUGGCGGCAUGCCUUACACAUGCAAGUCGAACGGCAGCACGGGGCAACCUGGUGGCGAGUGGCGAACGGGUGAGUAAUGCAUCGGAACGUACCUUUCAGUGGGGGAUAACGUAGCGAAAGUUACGCUAAUACCGCAUAUUCUGUGAGCAGGAAAGCAGGGGAACGCAAGACCUUGCGCUGAUUGAGCGGCCGAUGUCAGAUUAGCUAGUUGGUGAGGUAAAGGCUCACCAAGGCGACGAUCUGAAGCGGGUCUGAGAGGAUGAUCCGCCACGCUGGAACUGAGACACGGUCCAGACUCCUACGGGAGGCAGCAGUGGGGAAUUUUGGACAAUGGGGGCAACCCUGAUCCAGCCAUGCCGCGUGAGUGAAGAAGGCCUUCGGGUUGUAAAGCUCUUUCGGCCGGGAAGAAAUCGCACGGGCUAAUACCCUGUGUGGAUGACGGUACCGGAAUAAGAAGCACCGGCUAACUACAUGCCAGCAGCCGCAGUAACAC